AUGGCUGCCAGGGGGCGGGGACUGCGAGCGCAGAUCCCGGGCGGGGUGCCGGCUGGGAGAACUCGGUCCUCCACUGACCCAGCCGGCCACGCGCCCGCGUGUCGCCUCCCCGUCCCGCUAGCAGCACGCUGCGUGGCUGCUGGUUGGCUACUUAGGACGGAAGUUCGGUUGGUGUUUCUGCAGAGGUUUCCCCCUCGAGCGGUGGCAGAGUUUCUGAGUGCGGUAGUAGCAGCUCUGGCGGCAGCAACAGUGACUACGAGGGAUGGCGGCGGCUGCAGCAGGACCUGCAGCAUCUCAGAGGUAUUUCAUGACACUGAACUAGAGCAAUAAUUGAUGUAUUCAACUACCCACCUCUGUAUGAUGAUGUGAAAGUGCAAUUUUUCUCUUUGGUGAGUAAUCAAGAAACAGCCUCUGCCAUUGUUCUUGUCUGGUCUUUUGAAUGAUUUUAUUUAAGAUUUGCUUUACUACGGUUCCCAACAAGGGAGAUGACAGAUGUCAUCCCACAGAGGGAGGGGGAGAAAAACAAUAAAUCAGAUUUAUAAUAAAUUUUUUUAAAAGAACAUAUGUAAUUUGAAUAAUGUUUGUUCAUUUGUUUUUUCUAAAUUGUAAAUUUUCUAAAUUUGUCUAAAUUUACAUAUAUUAAUUAUCAAAUACAAAAAAUACAAAAUAAACACACACACAAAAAAGCGAAGAUGCUAAAAAAAACCAGUUAUGUUUUACUGCAUAGCAAUGAUUACAUUUUGUUUUGCAUCUUUUUUUAAAUUAAAAAAUUAAUUAUGCCUGUAAUCCCAGCACUUUGGGAGGCCGAGGCGGGCAGAUCACAUGAGGUCGGGGGUUCAAGACCAGCCUGACCAACAUGGAGAAACCCUGUCUCUACUAAAAAUACAAAAGUAGCUGGGCAUGGUGGCACAUGCCUGUAAUCCCAGCUACUCGGGAGGUGGAGGCAGGAGAAUCGCUUGUACCUGGGAGGCGGAGGUUGCAGUGAGCUGAGAUUGCACCACUGCACUCCAGUCUGGGCAACAAGAGUGAGACCCUGUCUCAAAAAAAAAAAAAAAAAAAAAAAAUUGAGACAGGGUCUCACUCUGUCACCUAGGCUGGAGUGCAGUGGCGUGAUCAUAGCUAACUGCAGCUUCAACCUCCUGGACUCAAGCAGUCCUCCCACUUCAGCCUCCCAAGUAGCUCGGAGCACUGACUGGAAAGAGAGUUAGGUUUGGCUGACUCCGUUGGGGGAAACACAGAGAAGGCAGCACAAUACAACACAUCAAAUAACUGACGCAGUUUUUUUUAUUCCAGAGAGAAGAGGGUAGCACACUUCGCAGGGCUAACUGGAAGGGAGAGCCAUCCAGGAGACCUGUGCUUGACGGGGAUCAAUAGCGAGAGAGAGGGAGGGACCUGGGAGUGGAAUUCUUUAUUGGGAUGUAAGGUGCUAUCUAAGCAGGUUUCCUACAGGGAGGUGCAAUUUGGUUUAAUGCAAGCAGCCAUGAGUCUCUGCUGUAACUGAGAGGUGGUCACUGUUAUAUCCACGUGGUUCAUGUGGAGUAUGGGGGUCUGUGGGGUGACCCCACAGUAGGUUAUAUCUAGCUGUCCCAUAAUGAAGUAGUCCCCAGGAGAAGGUUGAAUAAAGUAGAUAACAGGAUCAGUCACAUUGAGAAACUGGGAGGAGGCGAACUGGAAACUGCUGAGGGUGACUGAACCCUGCUUCUGAUAUCAGAAAGUCCAACUUAUAUUUAAAAGGGAUGCUGAGGCAACAAAAAACGUGUAAGAAUUCACUACAAUAUACUUGGGUCCUUAGGCAUAGGUCCUUAGUAGAUUCUGUUUAGCACUAUCUAAACCAGAUUCAAAUAUCAGCAUUUACAUUUUAAUUUAAUAUUAAAUUAAAUAUCUAGCAUUGAAAAUUUUGAUAGAAACAGCAAGAGAAUGCAAUAGCAUUUUCUUAAGCCUCCUCCUUUGUGUCUUGAGUUUAUUGUUAUAGACUGCAGAGUGCUAUGUAUUUAAUGGUUGUAAUUCUUUGAUAAAUAUAUAAAGGAAUGAAAUUUAAUUUCUUUGGAAUGAUUAGUUCUUGGUAUCAGUUUUACUUUGAAAAUAUAUAUUUUUUUCUUUUAGGAUCUUCCUAAAUACUGUGACAACUGUUCUUUUUUUUCUGGUUUAACACAUCUUUUAUACAAAAUAACAGAUAUGGAUAUAAUAUAAACCUAUAGAAACAGCCUAAUCUUCAAUGUCUAUGUAUAAGGUGUAAUGGCAAGUCUUUUCCUGGUUGUCACGAACUUUAUAGAAAGCAAAAACUCCUCAAGCCACCAUUGACCAUUGCCUUACUCCUCUUAAUUUGGUUAUUUUAAAAAUACAGUGGUUCUUGAGAUCCACUGUUGCAGUAUUCUCAAGGUCCAUGCCAUAGGACUGUGUUAUGAGUUCAAAAAUAUUAUAACCAGAUCUUAAGUGUGAUAGCAAAUUCUUCCCAGAGAAGUUCGAUAUGAGUCUGCUCAGUACUUUCAGUAUGUCAGGUCCUCAGCAGGUGCUGAUUUACCAAUGACAAAUCAUCACCAAAUUUUGUGCUAGUAAGGCAGGACCUAGGGAGGCUUCAGCUAGCUGAAAAGCUGACUGACACACUUAUAUCUAGGAGAAGUUAUAAGACACAAUAAGUAUUAAGGACUACAGCUAAAAAAUAUCAUUAAGUAAUAACCUCCCAUUUAAAUGUGGCUUUCUAAUAACUGAAUUGGGAAAACUUUCUGAAAAAUUAUUAAUUGGAAUUGGAGAUUAUUGUUCCAAAAAAACCUUCUGCCAUAUAUUUGGAAACUCAUUUUUCAGUCUAGAAGUUAUCCACUAUAAGUAGCAUUUGUUCUGUGGUGAUGAAAAAUUGAGAUUUUUUCUAAUCAACCAUACUCUUCAAUACAAAAGGAGAAAAUAUUUUUUAAAUGAUUUAGUUGAGAGUUGAAGAAGUGGCUAUGAUUAUAUGCGGCAUGAAUUGAUAGUUAUUGGUACACCCAGUCCUAAUCUUUUCUUCAGAUGUGGACUGGAUCUAAUAACUCCUUAAGUCCAGCAAGGCAACAGUAAAUUAAACCUGUGGUCUACACACCUGUAAUGUAUAUACAUUUAAUGGAUUUUGAUAGAGUGAACUUUGGAUUUGAUGGAAAUUUUUUACAAUUUUUUUCUUGGAUGUAUACAAACAAUAAGCUUUUCUUCUAA
rnacentral:lncRNA from 1 species